AAGUAGUUGAAUUUCGUGCCCAUAACAUUUCAACCAAGAUAGGCCACAGACCAGCAGGAAGCUUAUUUUCUUGUCUGUCUUUCAUAUCACGAUCUAGAUAAGCAACUAUUUCCAAUCAACAUUUAGGCUGCAUGUGACGCAGCUUAUACUUCCAUCCAAAUGCAUAGUGUAUGCUAGCUCUCCAUCCAUCCGUUUAAAAUCACGUGUCAUAUUCAGGGUCCAGAGCCUAUCCGGAGACUACAGGCACAAGGCAGGGAACCACCCAGAAUGGGGAACCAACGGGGGGGGCGGAAUACCCCCUGAAAAGCUCAUAUACAACAUGCAUACUCCCCACACUUGGACAGAGGUGGGAGGUGACAGUACUAGCCACUGCACCAGCACAACUAAACCAGCCAAAGUAUACUGCCUCCUCGUAGCAUAGAUCACUUUCGUUUUGGGGACACAAACAGCCAGUGUUCUAUCUACCAAUGCUACUUAUCGAGACGUGCUAUCGAGCCUUUCUGCGCAUGUGCAGUUCCACCGUCUUGGAAUUAGGGUUAGGUUUUAGGGGUUAGCGUAGGGGUUUUAGGGUUUUUUGGGGGGGAUUAGGGUUAGGGCUAGGGCUAUCGAUUAGCACUACAACUCGACAAAGUAGCUCAACUCGUCAGAACACCGGUCCCCAAAUGCCAAACGCAAAACAUUGUGGAAAUCCUCGAACGCAAAACAGCAUGGAUGGCGCAGAUGACAUUGCGGAAGGGGCUGGUAGCUGCGGACUCACGGACUGACCUCCCGGCGGCGGAUCUUCCGCGCCAGCUGCACACCAGAUAGCAAUAGCAACGGGUUGGUGAUCGGCGGCAAUCUGACCGACGUCCCGCUUCUUCGGGAUGUAAGUGACCCAUGGAUAGCAGUCAGAACCGCCACGGCGAUUCUCAGCAACCGAGCUAAAACGCGCUCCAAACACCGUAGCGCCAUAUUUGCGUCACGUGGUCCCUGGAAUAGCGGCGUACUCUGGGCAGAAAAGGUUAUAGAAAGCGGCCAGGAUAUCUUACUGGGGCUCGAGGUUUACCGAUGCGGUUGUCAGCUGGUAAAAAUGUUUACCUUUAGAUCCAGAGACACCGCUAUUGCAUAAAUUGCUAUUGCACUUACUGUUACUCUUCGUUGAAUGAGUCCACGUUAUUUUAACUGCUUCUGUCUUACAUCCGCGUUUGAAUAUGUUAUGUUAUGUCUUGCGCAUUAAUAUUCUGUUAAUUACAAUUUCUUGCUCUAUGACCGACGAGAUUGAAAUUUCAUCUGCGUGACCCAUGGAUCACAUAGCUGAAGAGGAAAAUAAACAUUUUGACUUUGACAACUACAACAAGCUUUUUUUUCUGACUUUUAUGUAUCUGAUAGUGAACAAAAAUGUAACCAGUGUAACAAAGUAGUCUGAAGACAAUUUGAUUUAUAAUUUGAUUUUCUGUAUUUUAAUUCACAAUGAUAUAUUUUGGCGGUUUUAUAAUAAAAUGCACAGUAUAUCACA